rnacentral:rRNA from 1 species
AACGAACGCUGGCGGCAGGCUUAACACAUGCAAGUCGAGCGCCCCGCAAGGGGAGCGGCAGACGGGUGAGUAACGCGUGGGCAUCUACCCAUCUCUACGGAAUAACGCAUGGAAACGUGUGCUAAUACCGUAUACGUCCUUCGGGAGAAAGAUUUAUCGGAGAUGGAUGAGCCCGCGUUGGAUUCGCGAGUUGGUGGGGUAAAGGCCUACCAAGGCGACGAUCCAUAGCUGGGCUGAGAGGAUGAUCAGACACACUGGAACUGAGACACGGCCCAUGCUCCUUCGUGAGGCAACAGUGGGAAAUAUUGGCAUAUGGGCGCAAGCCUGAUCCAGCCAUGCCGCGUGAGUGAUGAAGUCCCUAGGGUUGUAAAGCUCUUUCACCGGUGAAGAUAAUGACGGUAACCGGAGAAAAAGCCCCGGCUAACUUCGUGCCAGCCGCCGCCGUAACAC